ACCCAGAUUGGGAUUAGCUGAAAAAGUUAAAAUGAAAGCCGCAGAGAAAAAAAUUGCAGCAAAUAAAGAAAAGGCUGGUGGGCAAUUACCCGCUAAAAAGAAAAAGGCCACACUUUUGGAGGAUUCGUCAUCGAAGCUUACAUCGAACCUUGAUGAUUCUGAUUAUGAUGAUGACAAUUCAUCGGAUGAUAGCGAUAGCUCUUACAACUUAUAAGCAUAUACUAAGUUUGUAACAACUGAAAAAAUUAACGCAUAUAUUUUUUUUAAACAUUCGUGUAUGUAUAUUUUUGUGCAUUAGUUAGGCU